AUUGAACGCUGGCGGCAUGCUUUACACAUGCAAGUCGAACGGUAACAGGGUGCUUGCACCGCUGACGAGUGGCGAACGGGUGAGUAAUGCAUCGGAAUGUACCGUGUAAUGGGGGAUAGCUCGGCGAAAGCCGGAUUAAUACCGCAUACGCCCUGAGGGGGAAAGUGGGGGACCGAAAGGCCUCACGUUAUACGAGCAGCCGAUGUCUGAUUAGCUAGUUGGUGAGGUAAAGGCUCACCAAGGCGUCGAUCAGUAGCGGGUCUGAGAGUAUGAUCCGCCACACUGGGACUGAGACACGGCCCAGACUCCUACGGGAGGCAGCAGUGGGGAAUUUUGGACAAUGGGCGCAAGCCUGAUCCAGCCAUGCCGCGUGUCUGAAGAAGGCCUUCGGGUUGUAAAGGACUUUUGUCCGGGAGCAAAUCCUAGUGGUUAAUAACCGCUGGGUCUGAGAGUACCGGAAGAAUAAGCACCGGCUAACUACGUG
rnacentral:rRNA from 1 species